rnacentral:rRNA from 1 species
AACACGAAGUGAGUGGCGGACGGGUGAGUAACACGUGGGUAACCUGCCCAGAAGCAGGGGAUAACACCUGGAAACAGAUGCUAAUACCGUAUAACAGAGAAAACCGCCUGGUUUUCUUUUAAAAGAUGGCUCUGCUAUCACUUCUGGAUGGACCCGCGGCGCAUUAGCUAGUUGGUGAGGUAACGGCUCACCAAGGCGAUGAUGCGUAGCCGACCUGAGAGGGUAAUCGGCCACAUUGGGACUGAGACACGGCCCAGACUCCUACGGGAGGCAGCAGUAGGGAAUCUUCCACAAUGGACGCAAGUCUGAUGGAGCAACGCCGCGUGAGUGAAGAAGGGUUUCGGCUCGUAAAGCUCUGUUGUUAAAGAAGAACGUGGGUGAGAGUAACUGUUCACCCAGUGACGGUAUUUAACCAGAAAGCCACGGCUAACUACGUGCCAGCAGCCGCGGUAAUACGUAGGUGGCAAGCGUUAUCCGGAUUUAUUGGGCGUAAAGCGAGCGCAGGCGGUCUUUUAAGUCUAAUGUGAAAGCCUUCGGCUCAACCGAAGAAGUGCAUUGGAAACUGGGAGACUUGAGUGCAGAAGAGGACAGUGGAACUCCAUGUGUAGCGGUGAAAUGCGUAGAUAUAUGGAAGAACACCAGUGGCGAAGGCGGCUGUCUGGUCUGUAACUGACGCUGAGGCUCGAAAGCAUGGGUAGCGAACAGGAUUAGAUACCCUGGUAGUCCAUGCCGUAAACGAUGAUUACUAAGUGUUGGAGGGUUUCCGCCCUUCAGUGCUGCAGCUAACGCAUUAAGUAAUCCGCCUGGGGAGUACGACCGCAAGGUUGAAACUCAAAAGAAUUGACGGGGGCCCGCACAAGCGGUGGAGCAUGUGGUUUAAUUCGAAGCUACGCGAAGAACCUUACCAGGUCUUGACAUCUUCUGCCAACCUAAGAGAUUAGGCGUUCCCUUCGGGGACAGAAUGACAGGUGGUGCAUGGUUGUCGUCAGCUCGUGUCGUGAGAUGUUGGGUUAAGUCCCGCAACGAGCGCAACCCUUAUUACUAGUUGCCAGCAUUCAGUUGGGCACUCUAGUGAGACUGCCGGUGACAAACCGGAGGAAGGUGGGGACGACGUCAAAUCAUCAUGCCCCUUAUGACCUGGGCUACACACGUGCUACAAUGGAUGGUACAACGAGUCGCGAAACCGCGAGGUUUAGCUAAUCUCUUAAAACCAUUCUCAGUUCGGACUGUAGGCUGCAACUCGCCUACACGAAGUCGGAAUCGCUAGUAAUCGCGGAUCAGCAUGCCGCGGUGAAUACGUUCCCGGGCCUUGUACACACCG